rnacentral:tRNA from 1 species
GAAUAGGGGCGGAUGUAGCCAAGUGGAUCAAGGCAGUGGAUUGUGAAUCCACCAUGCGCGGGUUCAAUUCCCGUCGUUC